rnacentral:tRNA from 1 species
GCCAGCAUGGUCUAGUGGUCUGGGUGUUGGAUUAGGACUCUGGAGACCAGGGUUCAAAUCCCUGUUUGGCC